rnacentral:lncRNA from 1 species
GAGGCCUCUGCUCUGCCAGCCUGGGAGUCAUCUUCACCCUCAGGCUGGUAGACUCCAGUCUCUUAGGUCAGAAUGGGAUUAGAGACCCGUUCCUGAACCAGUCACACACAGCGGGUGAAACUGCUAUGAUUGGUUUAGACUUAGAGACUGGAAUGGAUGCUGGCCUAGAAGCGAAGACACAUAGAAGCAAUGUGUACCUAGACUGUUGUCCUAAAUGCCAUUUCCUACCAGGAAGGAACCAGAGUCUUUGCAGAAAUGUAUCAUUUCACAUCUGGGUAAGGAAAUGUCUGAGAAGGAUCAGAUAUAUUGUGGGUCAGAAAGCAACGGAGCUGUCAAAGUGAACUCAUGCAACGGUAUCAAAAGGAUUCAAAAGAAUUCAGUUGAUAAAAGUCGGUAUAGACCCAUUUCUUCCCACUCUUCCCUGCUAAGUAUAACUGUAACCCCUGAAAAUUACUCAAGAGACAACCAAAGGAGAACUCUAAACACUAGUGGAAGAAGAUUAACUGAUUUGGGACCCUAAGAACAACAUAGUGGCAGGGUGACACUCAUGCCUCCUUUCAAAAGAACAAGGACACCUAGACCCAGUAUUUUCCUACCUCAGCAGAGCAACAGAUGGAAGCCCACGUAGGCUCAUUGCUCUCCUGGAUCCAUCAGCACCCCAGAUAGCAGAUGACUGGUAGGAAGAUGAGGCAAGUUUGCGGUCCAUUGUCAUGGAUAGUGGAGACAACACUGGGCCAGAAGUGGUAAGACCUGAAUCCAAGACUCAGCUCUGCCACUUGCUAAAUGGGACUUUGAAUAAACCAUUUCUCUGCACUUAAGUUCCUUACCAACAAAACGAGGGAAGUGGCCUACAUGCCUAGAUAUCAACAUUUCAUGUCACGUAGAGAUCUAGCAUCACAAGAAUCCAAGUCAUCCUCUGUUGCCUUUAAGGUUUCAGCAUGGUGAAGGAAAAGUAG